ACUGCGGAGAUCAUUAUCGUAGGGGGCUCUGCCCCCGCCAGGAUGUAGGCCAGCCAAAAUUGCAGCCCUUUUCGGCGCAAAGAGAAAAGAAAAAGCCCCUGUUCUGCGUAGUGGCUCACCCCACAAUCUGCGGUUUAGGGCACUGGUUGUUGUCCUUUGGGUGCUUCUCCUGCCAGACCCGGCAGGCGUAGAACCCAAAGUGCCUUCCAGAUGUGCAUCGUUGCGGGUACCUCCCCUGCCAGACCCGGCGGGUGUUGGACCCAAGAUGCCGCCUAAUUGUGCAUGGUCAAGGGUGUCUUCCUCAUACCCGUGGGGUAUGACCCCUAGAUGACCCCCAAAUGUUUGCUGCCUACCAAGACGCUUCCCCAGCCAGACCCGGCUGGUGUGGAGUCAAGGAGGACCUGCAGAUGUGUCUUGUGCACAUAUGUGCCUUGUACAGAGCGGUUAUGGGGCAACUGCACUGGUUGCUAUUCAGCAUAAUGUACAUCAAGAGCGCUCUCCCUGCUUAACUGAGUAGCGGAAGCACCAUCUUUUUGUCCCCAGACAUGCAUGAGAUUACCUCAACCUCUUCUACUUGGGUAUGUGUCCCGCCAUAUUGGUGGGCAUAUCUCUCAUUGUAGGCCGCUUUUUGGAGCGAAUAAAGCUGUUUGGAUGGCUGGUCAUACGCUGUCCACUUAACCCUUGUGCAUGAAUACCAUUGUGUUCCUCGCUAAGCUUGGCUGGCACUGCGGACACUAUUAAACCCUUUUUUAUAUUAUUGUAACCGUACCAACCAAUUAUUCAAACUUUUCAACAACGGAUCUCCUUGGUUCUGGCAUCGAUGAAGGACGCAUCGCAAAUGCCAUAAGUAAGGGGAAUUGCAAAAAUUCAGGGAAUCCUCCCAAUCUUU
rnacentral:misc_RNA from 1 species